rnacentral:rRNA from 1 species
GAUGAACGCUGGCGGCGUGCCUAAUACAUGCAAGUCGAGCGAACAGACGAGGAGCUUGCUCCUCUGACGUUAGCGGCGGACGGGUGAGUAACACGUGGAUAACCUACCUAUAAGACUGGGAUAACUUCGGGAAACCGGAGCUAAUACCGGAUAAUAUAUUGAACCGCAUGGUUCAAUAGUGAAAGACGGUUUUGCUGUCAUUUAUAGAUGGAUCCGCGCCGCAUUAGCUAGUUGGUAAGGUAACGGCUUACCAAGGCAACGAUGCGUAGCCGACCUGAGAGGGUGAUCGGCCACACUGGAACUGAGACACGGUCCAGACUCCUACGGGAGGCAGCAGUAGGGAAUCUUCCGCAAUGGGCGAAAGCCUGACGGAGCAACGCCGCGUGAGUGAUGAAGGUCUUCGGAUCGUAAAACUCUGUUAUUAGGGAAGAACAAAUGUGUAAGUAACUAUGCACGUCUUGACGGUACCUAAUCAGAAAGCCACGGCUAGCUACGUG